CAGACAAACUCGUGAAUGACGAGAUAAUAGAUACAAUUCGUUCCAUUUAUGGCACUGUUUUUAUAACGAUAUUAAAUUAUCUCUGACCGUUGAAUUGUAUCAUGUGGAUAACUCCACGUAAUACUUUGACCAUUGGACACGAUCAUUUGACUCGGUUACAAUAGUUGCCACAUCGCAGGCUUCUUGAGAACCGUUUGUUUUACAUUUCAUAAUUUUGUAGUCAGUAAAAGAAAGAAAUAUACAUGUCGAAUUGAGUAACCUCUUCCUUUUUACAAGUCGGUGAAGAAAAUGGGAGAUAUCAGCUGCCAUCCUUUGGAGGUCACCAUCAAGUGUAGCUGUUUUGCGUUCUGGAGUUGCAUUUACUUUGAAGACAUACAGGUCGAGAAGACCCACCUGUCGAUUGAACGCGUCUGGCAUGGUGAACGUGGACGUGAUCCAGCAGUAGGUGUUGAUAGGGUGCUUUGGUAGAUCCUUAACGAUACAAGAGAUCGGAUUGCCGACGUACUGCGCGGCUGUGAUCACCAUGGAACACGUGAAGAGUAGCACCGUGGUGAAGUGAUUGUGCAAUCUGAACACCAUCGAGUCGGUGGUGACUUCUUGCCACUUCAGCCGAUCGGACUGGAUCAGGGGAAGUGGUAAGAGCCACAGCUCCCGCAGGACUUCAUCAAAAGCGGUGGAACCAGGUGAAACGGUUCCGAAUGGACUCGAUUGUACGAGAUAUUCGAGUACGUCCACGCGGCGUGCCUCUCUGUCCCUUUUCUCCUUCUUCCUUUUCUUCUGCCCUACUCCUGGAUCGCCUUUUCUUUUUCUUCCAGAAGAGAAGGCGCGCGUCGCGACCGGUCACCGAACCACGCGCUCCAACGAGGUCUUCAGGAUCGGUGGGUCUCCGACGACUUUAUUCUGUUUUAUUCCGUCGCUGCCGAGUGACCAAACACACGUGUCGCCAUCGAUUCAAGGUAAACAAGGUAAGGUCGAGGUAAAUAAACGACGGCGUUAUACCCCGUGAUCGGAUUACAAACAAUCUCUUAAUCGUUAAAUUAAACCUCCAAAAUUAAAUGAAAAUUUCGAUUAUGGAACGGUGCGAUACAAUUUUUGAUUUCGAAAGAGAACUUUUUUCCUUUCCCUUGUUGAAGGUGGUCGAAGGGACUCACUGGAGGAUCACACGGAGAAGCCUGACGCGGAGUUGUGCAACAGACGGGGCCCCUGGUCCGGUGGCGUUGCAGUUGCCUCCUCCUCCUCCUUUUUUUUUUCCUGCGGAUCCUGACCGAGAGCGAAGCCGACGCGACGACGACGACGACGGGUGCGUCAGAUCGACCGAUGAGCAUGGCAAUUGAUGGCAACGGCAUGGAGAUAUUUCACAGAGAUCCCACAGGGAUUCCCGUCACGCAGGAAUACUGGAGGAAAUACGAAUCAACACUCCGGGCAUGUCUCCUGAGGCUGUUUGUCGUCCAAAGUUUCGGUAUGUUAACUCGAAACUGUACAAUUACGAACUUAAAGGGCGCCGGGCUUCUCUGAAGGAUUAGUUUCUCAUUAAGUUCAGGAUGUCUGUCGUUAAGUCGAGGAAAAUUUUGCCUCGGGGUCUGUUACGGCCCACGUUUGGGCCAGUGGUGGCCACCUGGGGCCAGUGGUGCUCAACCCCAGACGCGAGGAGAAUCUCUUGCAGAGAAUUCUCAUUUCUUUUUUGAUACCGACUCAUGGAACAACGAAGUCAUUGUACCUACUUAAGGAACAGGUUUCAGUUGAAAGGAAUUCUCGAUGCAGGCCGUUCCCCAGCGACGAACAAAGGAAAAGUUGCGACUCCUUCGUCGAGAUUUCCCGAAAGAAUUUUAGUAUUUUUUUUUUUUUUUUUUUUGCUAAAAAACAAACAUGAGGAGUCAAUUUUUUAUUUUAAAAGGAAGGUGUAAAUGAUAAGUUACCUCGAUUUUUGUGGGAUAAUGGUCCUGUUGUUUUUUUUUUUUUUUUAUCAUCGAUUUUGGCGACGCUAAUUCCGGACAGAAACGUUCGAGUAAUUCCUCGAGACGCGCCGUCGAUAACGAUAACGACCAAGAAGUUACGUAAUCGGUUUCUUUCCGUUAAUGUUAACGACACAAUCGAUUAGCGAAGAUCGCGCGUCCGGAAUAUUUGGCAAUCUGGUUAAUACGUAAGCGAAAUCGUUGAUUCUAGAUGCAAGUAAAAGGUACGCGAUGAGUUAUUAACGAAACGUGUGCACGGGAACGAGGUUAAAUUUCCCGCGCAUGCGUCGAACGUUCCAGAGGAAUCCUAACCUCUCGUACUUAGCGUUUUCAAUUAUUUCGGAGAUCUGUUUCUAAUUAAGAUUAUAAUUAGUCCGUUGUAAUUCUACUUUUUCUGGAGAAUCCAAAUCUGUAAUAAAAAAUUGGGGUUG